CGUGCUUAACACAUGCAAGUUGAACGGUAUGACAUGGAAGCUUGCUGAAGUGUCAUAUAGUAGCGGACGGGUGAGUAAUGCAUGGGAAGCUGCCAUUGGGAGGGGGACAACAGUUGGAAACGGCUGCUAAUACCCCGUAUGCCGGAAGGUGAAAGGGAGCGAUCCGCCCGAUGAGGUGCUCAUGUCCUAUCAGCUGGUUGGUGGGGUAACGGCCUACCAAGGCGACGACGGGUAGCCGGCCUGAGAGGGUGAACGGCCACACUGGAACUGAGAUACGGUCCAGACUCCUACGGGAGGCAGCAGUGGGGAAUAUUUGGGGCAAUGGGGGCAACCCUGGCCCAGCGACGCCGCGUGAGGGAAGACGGCCUUCGGGUUGUAAACCUCUUUUGUACGGGAAGAAGGAAGUGACGGUACUGUACGAAUAAGUCCCGGCUAACUACGUGCCAGCCGCGGC
rnacentral:rRNA from 1 species